UACGUAGGGGGCAAGCGUUAUCCGGAAUCAUUGGGCGUAAAGCGCGUGUAGGCGGUUCCGUAAGUCCGCUCUGAAAGCCCAGGGCUCAACCCUGGGAGGCGGGUGGAUACUACGGAACUGGAGUACGGAAGAGGAGAUUGGAAUUCCUGGUGUAGCGGUGAAAUGCGCAGAUAUCAGGAGGAACACCGGUGGCGAAGGCGGAUCUCUGGGCCUUACCUGACGCUGAGGCGCGACAGCGUGGGGAGCAAACAGG
rnacentral:rRNA from 1 species